AUCUAAAUAGUAUAUAAAUUACAUUUAACUUCCAAUUAAAAAACCUAUUAAUUAGUUUAGAUA
rnacentral:tRNA from 1 species